rnacentral:lncRNA from 1 species
GUGCUUAUCCUGAUGGCAAAACAUACUGGAAGAUUUUUCAAUGGCAAAAACACUAGUGCUGACUCUCUAGGUGAACACUAGCUCGAUCAUCCUAAUUUUAUGUAUGAUCACUGAAUUUUAUUUACGAGCUAGAUAGCUGAAAAAUUCAUAAAAUGGCUAUAUAUAUACAAAUAUAUGAUUUCCACAAAAUAUAUUUGAACA